CUCGGCGGCUCUCGGCGGGAGGCUGCGGCGGGGAGAAGCGGCCGGAGGAGAGGACGGAACCGGGCGGUCAAGAGCCGCAGCCGGACAUUUCAUCUGCAAGGAGGGACAUCAGAAAGGUUGUGCAUGCAGAAGAAAUGCAGUAUUACCUUCUCUAUGGAAGGGUGAGGUGGAUCAUACCGUCACGGAUAGAAUACUGGGAAAGGAGCUGGCUGGGAAAGCAUCAGCUGUAACACAGCCAAAAUACUUCUUCCCAUCCCAACACCUGGGAGAGGAAUGAACAGCAGGGGACAUGGGGCUCCUUCAGAUGAAUAGAGGUUUCUCCCGCAGAGAUAGCCCCGAAAAACUUCUGUCCGAUUGAUGACUAAAGGCAAAUGCAUGUCAGGAAGACGGGCAAAGAGAAGAAGGAAAAUCCCCGAAGUAUCCAAAGGGUCACUUACAGGAGGGAGUGUUUCGAAGGGCUCUCGAGGAGGGCAGCCAGAGCAGCACAUGAAAACCUGCAGCCAGGCGCUGUGCCCAGAAGCCGUGCCGCAGUGCCGUGCCCCCAGCCGGCUGUCAGAGCGAGGACCCGCCCCAGCGAGCUGGGGACAAACCUGCUUCAAGCCUGUCACCCUGCGUGCUUCAAAGCGAGGUGCGGCGGGGGCAGGGAGGGAGACAGAAAGCGAAG